CCUACGGGGGGCUGCAGUGGGGAAUAUUGGACAAUGGGGGCAACCCUGAUCCAGCCAUGCCGCGUGUGUGAAGAAGGCCCUCGGGUUGUAAAGCACUUUCAGUGAGGAAGAACGCCUGGUGGUUAAUACCCAUCAGGAAAGACAUCACUCACAGAAGAAGCACCGGCUAACUCCGUGCCAGCAGCCGCGGUAAUACGGAGGGUGCGAGCGUUAAUCGGAAUUACUGGGCGUAAAGCGCGCGUAGGUGGCUUGAUAAGCCGGUUGUGAAAGCCCCGGGCUCAACCUGGGAACGGCAUCCGGAACUGUCAAGCUAGAGGGCAGGAGAGGAAGGUAGAAUUCCCGGUGUAGCGGUGAAAUGCGUAGAGAUCGGGAGGAAUACCAGUGGCGAAGGCGGCCUUCUGGACUGACACUGACAUUGAGGUGCGAAAGCUUGGGUAGCAAACAGUGUUAGAUACCCUUGUAGUC
rnacentral:rRNA from 1 species